CUCAGUAACACGUGGCCAAACUACCCUGUCGAUCGGGACACCCUCGGGAAACUGAGGCUAAUCCCGGAUACGGCUCGCUGCCUGGAGGUGGCGCGAGCUCGAAACGUUCAGGCGCGACAGGAUGUGGCUGCGGCCGAUUAGGUAGACGGUGGGGUAACGGCCCACCGUGCCGAUAAUCGGUACGGGUUGUGAAAGCAAGAGCCCGGAGACGGAAUCUGAGACAAGAUUCCGGGCCCUACGGGGCGCAGCAGGCGCGAAACCUUUACACUGCACGCGAGUGCGAUAGGGGGACUCCAAGUGCGAGGGCAUACAGUCCUCGCUUUUCACCACCGUAAGGAGGUGGUAGAAUAAGUGCUGGGCAAGACCGGUGCCAGCCGCCGCGGUAAUACCGGCAGCACGAGUGAUGACCGCUAUUAUUGGGCCUAAAGCGUCCGUAGCCGGCCAGGCAAGUCCAUCGGGAAAUCCGCACGCCUAACGUGCGGGCGUCCGGUGGAAACUGCUUGGCUUGGGACCGGAAGAUCCAGAGGGUACGUCUGGGGUAGGAGUGAAAUCCUGUAAUCCUGGACGGACCACCGGUGGCGAAAGCGCUCUGGAAAGACGGAUCCGACGGUGAGGGACGAAAGCUUGGGUCACGAACCGGAUUAGAUACCCGGGUAGUCCAAGCUGUAAACGAUGUCUGCUAGGUGUGGCACAGGC
rnacentral:rRNA from 1 species